GACAGAGGGUGCAAACGUCGUUCGGAAUUACUGGGCGUAAAGCGAGUGUAGGCGGUUCGGUAAGUCGGAUGUGAAAGCCCCGGGCUCAACCCGGGAAGUGCACUCGAUACUGCCGAGCUAGAGUAUCGGAGAGGUUGGUGGAAUUCUCGGUGUAGAGGUGAAAUUCGUAGAUAUCGAGAGGAACACCGGUGGCGAAGGCGGCCAACUGGACGAAUACUGACGCUGAGACUCGAAAGCGUGGGGAGCAAACAGG
rnacentral:rRNA from 1 species